rnacentral:lncRNA from 1 species
CGGGGCCGUAGGGGAAGUCGAGAGUUGGCAAGCAAACACUACCAGGACCUACCAGAUAAAAUACGUAUUUUCCUUGUUAUAAAUAAGGGGUGAGAAUGCCACUGCAGUGUUAAAAAAUGCAUGGGCGCACCUGUGGGCACGGACGCUCAGCGGUACCGUCAAGGGAGGCCCCUCAGCCCCGCAGCUGCAGCGGGCACGGGCAGCGGCACGGCUCUCUCUGCUCUCUUACCUGGCAGAACCAAGAGGCAGCUUUGCUCUGCCCCUGGGCUGGAGCUGCUCCUCCCCUCAGCAGAGUGCAGGACAGGAGGGUGCUGCUGCAUGUGUGGAAGAAGUGGCAAUCUGCAAUGCUGAGAGGAGCACGAGCUGAAAACAAGGGUUCUGUGGUUUCAUCCUGUAUUGCAACCUUCCAGCUGAAGACCAUCUAAGUCAAAAU